GUCUAUGGCCAUGUCACCCUGAACAAGCCCAAUCCCGUCUGAUCUCGGAAGCUAAGCAGGGUCGGGCCUGGUUAGUACUUGGAUGGGAGACCACCUAGGAAGACCAGGUGCUGUGGGCG
rnacentral:rRNA from 1 species